rnacentral:rRNA from 1 species
UUAAUUGAAGAGUUUGAUCAUGGCUCAGAUUGAACGCUGGCGGCAGGCCUAACACAUGCAAGUCGAGCGGGGUUUUCGGACCUAGCGGCGGACGGGUGAGUAAUGCGUAGGAAGCUGCCCGAUAGAGGGGGAUACCAGUUGGAAACGACUGUUAAUACCGCAUAAUGUCUACGGACCAAAGUGUGGGACCUUCGGGCCACAUGCUAUCGGAUGCGCCUACGUGGGAUUAGCUAGUUGGUGAGGUAAUGGCUCACCAAGGCGACGAUCUCUAGCUGGUUUGAGAGGAUGAUCAGCCACACUGGAACUGAGACACGGUCCAGACUCCUACGGGAGGCAGCAGUGGGGAAUAUUGGACAAUGGGCGCAAGCCUGAUCCAGCCAUGCCGCGUGUGUGAAGAAGGCCUUCGGGUUGUAAAGCACUUUCAGCGAGGAGGAAGGGAUGUAUGUUAAUAGCAUGCAUUUUUGACGUUACUCGCAGAAGAAGCACCGGCUAACUCUGUGCCAGCAGCCGCGGUAAUACAGAG